AUGGGGGAGGAAUUCUGGGAAUGGGCUUGGAAGGAGCCCAUAAAUCCUGGGAUUGAUCCCAUCCCCCAAACCCAGGGGGACGUUCCCGUGGGAAAUCCUUGGGAAAACAAACAAAAAAAAAAACCUCUUGAAAAUCAGCUAUCCUGGGAAAUCCCCGCUCCUCUCCUCCUGAACCAACCCCAGCAGGAUUUAUCCCUAAAUUCCAUAAUUUUUUUUAAAGGGAAAACCGAAUCCAAACUCGCCCUGACCCCGCUCCUUUUCCCAGGGAGAAGCGCCCUCGGUCCCCGCCCGCUGCUGCCGGUGGGAGCUGGGGGAGCCCGGCCCGGCUCAGCUCGGCUCAGCCCAGCUCGGCUCAGCCCAGCCCAGCCCGGCUCAGCUCAGCCCAGCCCAGCCCGGCUCAGCUCAGCCCAACCCAGCUCAGCCCAGCCCAGCCCGGCUCAGCUCAGCCCAACCCAGCUCGGCUCAGCUCAGCCCGGCUCAACUCAGCUCAGCCCAGCCCAGCCCAGCCCGGCUCAGCUCAGCCCGGCCCGGCCCGGUCCGGCAUUCCCGGGGUCCCUUCCCGGGGUCCCUUCCCGGGGUCCCUUCCCGGGGUCCCUUCCCGGGGUCCCUUCCCGGGGUCCCUUCCCGGGUCCGCUAUCGGAGCUCGCUGUAGAUUUUGAGGGACAGCUCUGGAAGCUUCUCCUCGCUCUUGUCCCCGUGCUCCUCCUCCGGGAAUUGGAUGCUGUAGGAUUCCUCCCCCAGCGCCGGGCGCGGCGGCCGCGGCAGCCGCGGGAAGGUCGGGCCCGAGUCUGGGUCUGGGAACAGGGAAAACCCGGCUGGAAAAAACAGCUGGAAAACCCAGGGGGAAAACCCGGCUGGAAAACCCAGCUGGAAUGCCAGGAACCCCCGGCAAGGCUGCCCAGCCCCUUCUCCGGUUUGUGGGGUCAGGGGAUUCUGGGAUGGGAUUUUGGGAUGGGAUUUUGGGAUGAUCCAGUGUCGCUCCAUCCAUGGGCAGGGACAUUUCCCGCUGUCCCAGGGCGCUCCAAGGACAAUUCCAGGGAUCCAGGGGCAGCCAGAGCCUCUCUGAGAAACCCAUUCCAGGAAUUCCAUCCCAAAAUCCCAUCGCACCCUGCCCCGUGCCAGGAAGGUUGCCCUGGAUGA
rnacentral:lncRNA from 1 species